rnacentral:rRNA from 1 species
AUUGAACGCUAGCGGCAGGCUUUACACAUGCAAGUCGAACGAGUAGCGGACGGGUGAGUAAUGUCUCUGAAACUGCCCAGUGGCGGGGGAUAACUACUCGAAAGCGUAGCUAAUACCGCAUAACAUAGGAUGGGCCAAUAUGGGAUUAGCUAGUUGGUGGGGUAACGGCUCACCGAGGCAACGGGCCGUAGCUGGUGUGCGAGGAUGCCCAGCCAGACUGGAACUGAGACACGGCCCAGACUCCUACGGGAGGCAGCAGUGGGGAAUAUUGGACAAUGGGGGAAAGCCUGAUUCAGCCAUGCCGCGUGUAUGAAGAAGGCCUUCGGGUUGUAAAGUACUUUUGGCAGAGAAGCGGUAUUCGCAGAAUAAGCACCGGCUAACUACGUGCCAGCAGCCGCGGUAAUAC